CUUCCCCCAGCUACCAGCUCAAAACUGGUAUAUUCUCUAGAUUUUCCCAUAUUUAAUUUAAUUUCCAUUUCUUCUAUGUAUUUCCAUUUCUGACUCUGGUUAUUUGGCACAGUCUAUGCAUUGCAUUAAUUACCCCUCCCCCAAUGGCAAAACUAUAAACACAGAAGAAAAACUUAUUCUGCUAACACUGAGAACUUCUUAUGAUGACGACAUGUACUGACUUCCGGUUUAAACUGAUGGAGAGUGUAUGUGUAUUAACUCAGGAUUCAAGAAAAUAUAUUCUUGAAUAUCAGAAUACCUUCCAGUUUACAUGACUAUUAUCUGAACAGUGAGACUGGGGAAUGUUUGUCCAUUCACAUACAAAAUCUGAAAGUAGUCCAUUAGUUUUGGUUGAUGGCAGAUCUGAAGAAAAGUGAUGCCAUAUCUAGCAGGGGCCCCUCCAAUAAGAAAAGCCAUCAAUAUAUUUAAUUUGGAUAGGUUGACUGGUCAGAGAUGGUGGAAAUUGCUUCCUGUUGGAUAGUAAAGUUACAAUUUGCCAAACUUAGAAUAGGUCCCUUAGAUAAAAGCAACUUGAUUUAUUCAGCAAUUGAAUCAAAAGUACACCAAGAAUGCAGGUUUGGAACUAUGAGAGCAAAUUUAAUUAUAUACUGUAAAUGCAUUUAAUUUAAAUAAUAUUUUGUUCUAAUAAAAACAUUUUUUUAAUUAAGCUUAGCCAUAUAAUAUGAAUAAAUAUAAAUGAUAUCACAGUCAGUUCAGACACCAUUCUCAGACUAUUCUGUUCUUAUUUAAGCCUCUACUUUUUGUUAUUUUAGAAGGCGUGGAAAAUACUGAAUUUUACCUUUAAUACAGCGUAUUUAAUUAAUUGCAGAAAUUAGCGUCACGGUGUAUAAAUAGACUGGUGAGGGCAGUGAAAGAAAGGGUCUUGAAUAUAUAGUGGUUUGAACAAAUCUUUGCUGUAUUACUCAGUUUCACUAGGUGGUGCUGUAAAACAGCUUUUAUUUUCAUGACAUCCAACAUAUAAAUUGAAUGUCUGAACGUAUUAAGGGAAUGUAACAUUACCCUUUCCAUCCACUUUUUGGUUCAGUUCCAUUCAUGCACUAUGGAAAUCCAAAGCAUCAGAGUUCUGCUGGUUCUUUCACAUUGGUCUGUUUGCUGGGCCAAUGUUAUCCAGUUACCUACGAUGGAGGAAAUCUCAGGGGCUAAUGUUACUCUCCCAUGUAACCAUACCGCCAUCACUUCUGGUGAUUAUAUUGACUGGUAUAAAAAUACUCCUGAUAAAGGACUUCAGUUAUUAAUUGGUGGAUUUAAGGAUACAGCCUCUGGCUUGCGCACAUUGACCUUCAGCAAAGACAGAAAGUCCAGUGAACUCCAUAUACAGAACAUCAUGCCGGAGGAGAGUGGAGUUUAUCUAUGUGUUCUGCGGGACACAGCAGUGCAGCUGAAUAUGCUCUCUGUACAAUAAGCAAAUGCAGAGGGUGCGGAGAAAAACAUACAGUAUUACUUACACACACAUGCAUAUACUGUGCAUAGUAACUUUCAAAGACAAAUAUGUUAGUUACUAAGUAUAAGUUAGUUACCUAGUGUAAGAGAAUAUAUUCCUGUUAUAUUGCUUCAAUCCCUUAC